rnacentral:rRNA from 1 species
UACGAAGGGGGCUAGCGUUGUUCGGAUUCAUUGGGCGUAAAGGGUGCGUAGGUGGCGCCGUAAGUCAGGUGUGAAAUUUCGGAGCUUAACUCCGAAACUGCAUUUGAUACUGCGGUGCUUGAGGACUGGAGAGGAGACUGGAAUUCACGGUGUAGCAGUGAAAUGCGUAGAUAUCGUGAGGAAGACCAGUGGCGAAGGCGGGUCUCUGGACAGUUCCUGACACUGAGGCACGAAGGCCAGGGGAGCAAACGGG